AGUGAACGCUGGCGGUAGGCCUAACACAUGCAAGUCGAACGGCAGCACCGUAAGUUCUUGCUCUUACUGGUUGCGAGUGGCGGACGUGUGAGGUAUACAUCGGAAUCUACUUUUUCGUGGGGGAUCUCGUAGGGAAACUUACUCUAAUACCGCAUACGCCCUACCGUUUUAAGCAGCUGAUCUUCGCUCCUUUCGCGAUUGAAUGAGCCGAUGUCGGAUUAGCUAGUUGGCGGGGUAAAGGCCCACCCAGGCGACGAUCCGUAGCUGGUCUGAGAGGAUGAUCAGCCACACUGGAACUGAGACAGGGUCCAGGCUACUAAGGGAGGCAGCAGUGGGGAAUAUUGGACAAUGGGCGGAAGCAUGAUCCAGCCAUACCGAGUGGGUGAAGAAGGCCUUCGGGUUGUAAAGACCUUUUGUUGGGAAAGAAAAGCAGCAGGUUAAUAACCCGCUGUUCUGACGGUACCCAAAGAAUAAGCACCGGCUAACUUCGUG
rnacentral:rRNA from 1 species